UACGUAGGGUGCGAGCGUUGUCCGGAAUUACUGGGCGUAAAGAGCUCGUAGGCGGUUUGUCGCGUCGUCCGUGAAAACUUGGGGCUCAACCCCAAGCUUGCGGGCGAUACGGGCAGACUUGAGUACUGCAGGGGGAGACUGGAAUUCCUGGUGUAGCGGUGAAAUGCGCAGAUAUCAGGAGGAACACCGGUGGCGAAGGCGGGUCUCUGGGCAGUAACUGACGCUGAGGAGCGAAAGCAUGGGGAGCGAACAGG
rnacentral:rRNA from 1 species